rfam:Salmo salar isolate Sally breed double haploid chromosome ssa27, whole genome shotgun sequence.
UCUAAUUGCACCUGUAAGUUGCUCUGGAUAAGAGCACCUGCUAAAUGACAUAAA